GCUAACUUGACGCCGCUCAGUAGUUGAGUCUUGAGAGGCAGCAACCUUUAAACGGUAGUAUGUAGAGAAGAAUGCUAAGGCAGCCAAGCAAAAGCUACGUGCUCGCCCUAAAAUAUGAACUUUUGAGAAGAUCUUCUUCAUGAGUGCCCAUAAUUUCGUGAUUUGAGGCAAAAUUUGGGAUUUGGUCACUUGUGCACAUCUUAGUUAAUCUUGUUCCUAUUGUUUGGGUCAGCUUGCACACACUUUAGUUCCCGUUGUUCGUAUCAGCUUGCACACACAUCCCACCAACACAUGUACCGGGUCAUACUAUCCACCAAGGUUGGGACAGAUGGGAAGAAAAUGGCGUUUUUGUUUUUAUCUCCGCUGAGAAUUGAAUAGUUCUGGACCCACUUCAGUCACACCUUGGGUGCAAAAAGUUGAGUUUUCCCUGGUUGUACUGUAAUUUGUAUAGUUUAAAGAGAAACAAAAGCUUCAAUGGGAAAAAGAAAGACAAAGGUGAAGACAAAGUCUUUUGUGACUUUGUGAGCAUUCGCUAGACAACAAGUCCAAGUCCCUAGAGAUGAUUUUGGACCUCAAGAAUUCCAAGUCUUCAGUCAAAAGUUCAUGUUCUCAUACUGUCAUGUCAGCUUGAAAAUCUUGAUUAAUACACAAAUUUUCAAGAUUUUUACUGUCCAUAUCGAAGAAAUCAAUGGACUGAUACUCAUCAGGAAGGUUGUUGUUGAUUGCUACUUGAAGGAGCUGGUUAUUAA